UCAAAUAGUCCCACCCUGAUGCCAUC
rnacentral:piRNA from 1 species